GACGAACGCUGGCGGCGUGCUUAACACAUGCAAGUCGAACGGAAAGGCCCUGCUUUUGUGGGGUGCCCGAGUGGCGAACGGGUGAGUAACACGUGGGUAACCUGCCCUUGACUUUGGGAUAACUUCAGGAAACUGGGGCUAAUACCGGAUAGGAGCUCCUGUUGCAUGGUGGGGGUUGGAAAGUUUCGGCGGUUGGGGAUGGACUCGCGGCUUAUCAGCUUGUUGGUGGGGUAGUGGCUUACCAAGGCUUUGACGGGUAGCCGGCCUGAGAGGGUGACCGGCCACAUUGGGACUGAGAUACGGCCCAGACUCCUACGGGAGGCAGCAGUGGGGAAUAUUGCACAAUGGGCGGAAGCCUGAUGCAGCAACGCCGCGUGCGGGAUGACGGCCUUCGGGUUGUAAACCGCUUUCGCCUGUGACGAAGCGUGAGUGACGGUAAUGGGUAAAGAAGCACCGGCUAACUACGUG
rnacentral:rRNA from 1 species